AAAUACCAGAUAAAUGCAAAUUAAUUCAAAAAUAAGAAGAUAAAGAAAAGAAAAAAAUUUGAAUUUAACCCCUCAACCCACGUUGGCAACGCUACCUCUCCCCUAAAAUCUCUCCCACAUCCAAACCACCCAUCCCUCUAAUUUAAUCACCAAAUCAAUUCAGUCUGCUUAUUCUACCCGUCCUCUGCAGCAAGCCUUUCUCUUCAAACUUCAAUUCAAGGUAAUUCGGCAACCUCCAUCUCUGUACACGUUUUUACAUCUAAAUCAAAUAGCCAAACUCAUUGAACUUCUGGAACAGGACCGAGAAAGAGAUUCAAGCCACACACUCUUUUCAAUCCACUGCUAGUCUCCAUUACAAAUCUGACCAGAGGUAAUUUCAGAGAAAAUCCAUCUUCCUCUUCCAAAAUAAAUCCUCUUUUGACACAUGAACAUACUUCUGGCAGAAACCAAGAGAAAGGAAGAUAGAAGCCACAAUCUCUAUUAUUUACAGCUUACCCGUCUCAGAUUAUUGAAGGUGAAUCCUCACAAGUGAAUCGUGAUACCAAGGGGAAGAAAGUACUUGAGAAUUAAACAGUCGAGGUUGAGCGGCGACGAGCAGUUGGUGGUGUUGAG